AACAAAAACAUGUCUUUUUGAAUUAAAUUUAAAGUCUAACCUGCCCACUGAAAUUUUUAAAUGGCCGCAGUAUCCUAACUGUGCAAAGGUAGCAUAAUCAUUAGUCUUUUAAUUGAAGGCUGGAAUGAAUGGUUGGACGAAAUAUUAACUGUUUCAUUUAAAUUUUUUAUAGAAUUUUAUUUUUUAGUCAAAAAGCUAAAAUUUAUUUAAAAGACGAGAAGACCCUAUAAAUCUUUAUAUUUUAUUUAUUUUAAUUAUAAAGAUUAUUUUCAUUAUAAUAAAUUAAAAUAUUUUAUUGGGGUGAUAUUAAAAUUUAAAAAACUUUUAAUUUUAAAAACCAUUAAUUUAUGAAUAAUUGAUCCAUUAAUAAUGAUUAAAAAUUUAAGUUACUUUAGGGAUAACAGCGUAAUUUUUUUGGAGAGUUCAUAUCGAUAAAAAAGAUUGCGACCUCGAUGUUGGAUUAAGAUAUAAUUUUAGGUGUAGCCGCUUAAAUUUUAAGUCUGUUCGACUUUUAAAUUCUUACGUGAUCUGAGUUCAAACCGG
rnacentral:rRNA from 1 species